AAGGGCUCCUGGGAUUGAAUCUUAAGUACAGAGAAAACCUAAGAAUGCUUUUAGAUAGACAGAUAAGAGACCAGUAGAGAAGAGCAGAUUGAAGGUAUGUGUGAGAAACGUUAUGUAAUGAAAAGAUAAUUGAUGACACACACUUCCAGAGGGUGCUGGCGAGAUUGAUUCAAAAGCACACGGCUAGGGCACUGAGUAACGAGAAAGAAGUUGCAGAUGAAGGAUAAAUGGACAGGAAUAAGAAAGGGCUUCAUCAUUUAAGAAUCUGAAAGAGACAAAAAGACAGAAGAAGGAGAUGCCAGUGACAAGCAAAGUAACUCCCCCACGGCAUGGGAAGAGCCAGCAUCUGCUGCUGUCCAGGAAUACAGUCUCACUGCUGCAGUCAAGGAAGGCCAAAGAAGCCACCGGGGAAAACCAACCCAUCCCGGGGACACUGGAGGCUCACUCCUUCCUCGCUGCAUUCUGAGGCUGCUGCUUUGGAGUGAGAGAUUAUCCUCUGCUUCUCCUGAAAGAGAAGGUGAUAUGCCCAGGACCCUUCCUGAGUAAGAUGUGUUCCUCAGAGGUUAAAAAAGAAAAAAAAGCCCCAAACCCCUGAAACCAAGAAAUCAAGACAGCUCUGGUGGAGAAGCUUUUGGGAACUUGCUGGGGCAGCAAAUUAUCUGGAUUUUACAGAGGAAGGAGGACAUUGAAGAUUAGAGGUUGCAUAGCCUGACCAUGUUUACAUCUACUGCAGAUGAAGAGAUUGCUUCGCUUCAAACCUCCUGACUGC
rnacentral:lncRNA from 1 species